GAAUCUUCCACUAACCUAAUUAACCCAAGUUGCUCAUAUGUCAGGCCAGUUAUAAGCCGAGGGUCCACUGUAGUUGAUUACAAGGUGUUAAAUGAGGGACCUUCUUCAAAAUAUUUUUGUUACUCUUCUUGAAAUCCCUCUAUUAAUAAUUUUUUCCUUUGACGUCUAUCCCCCUUGCCCACGUGUCUUAUUUUAAAACUCCCAUGCCAUUGGCCAAAGAUUAUACUAACAAAAACCAAAGUUUUACCUCCUUUGCAUUUUUUUCCCUGCAAACCCCCUAAACCAGGGCUUGAUGAACUAUGUCCUAGGGACCAAAUUCAGCAAGCCACUUGCUUUUAUACAACCUGAGAACAAAGAAUGGUUUUUAUAUUUUUAAACAGUAAAAAAAUCUCAAAAUAAGAAUAAUUGUUCAUAAUAUAUGAAAAUUAUAUCAACUUGAAAUUUUAAUGUUUAUAAAUAAGGUUUUGUUGGAGCCCAGCUAUAUCUGUCCAUUCACUCAUGUUGUGUCUGUGACUGCUUUAGUGCUAUGAGGACAGGAAUGAGCAGUUGUGACAGCAACAUCAGGGCUUACACAAUCUAACAUAUUUGCUAUCUGGCCCUUCACUGAAGUUUGUUGCCUUUACAGGGAAGCCAUUUGUGUGCCUAGAUUUAUCCCAUCAGCUUGAGUACUUUUUACAAAAAUCACUAGAUGUGGUCUUUUCAGUGGAAAAGUGAUCCUCACUUUAAGAGGUAUAUGGAUUCCCAGAAAGUUCUAUGUAAAAAGAAGCCUUAUCAAGAAAAUAAAUACUUUUUAGGCUUUAGAGAAAUGAGCCUAUUGCCUUUCUGAGGUUUGGGGAACAGGUAGGUUGGGAUGAAAGCCAGUGUCACCCCAGAGACCACUCCUCUUCAUUUUGUUUUCACUGCUCGUAAUUCUUGGAGCUGAGGCCCCUCGGCGCUGCUGCACCCCAUGCUUAAUCUCUGGGUCUCAGCUCCGUGGAAGCAGACUGUUUGAAUUAUGAUCCAAGCAAGAGAGAGAUUUUUCCCAGGGGUAGGGGAGGAAGCAAUUUACUUGGGUAGUCCCAACAACGUGCCUGGGAAAUCAUCUGUCUGCCGCUGAAUGGUUUCCAUCCCGCGAGGAGCGGGGGGGAGACAAGGGUGGGAUUCCCCAAGUGGUUUUUCUCCCCUUCUCCCCACUUCUACCUCGAAUUUAUUGGUAAACGCAUGGUUGUCAUUUUAGGCCCCCAGGUCCCCCGAACUGCUGAGUUGCCAGCACAGGCUUUUCACGUAAGACGUCACAUCGAAGUUGGGAAAGCUGAUGAAGUCCAAUCCAGUGUGAUUUCCCCUGGCUCUUCGGAGCUUUAGGUUUGCCUGGAUUUGCCAGAGGGAUUUCGCUGGUCUCACCCGAAUGAGGCUUGAAACUGUUUUCUCUUCUUACCUUAGAUUGUCACAGCGAGGGGAUGUGUGAGAAUUCUCGGGAGCAGCCUGUGAGCCUUCUAGCUGUGCUCUGAACGUGAGGAGCAAUUUAAAAGUCAUUUACCUUCCGCCUGUGAGAUGAGGAGAAUUGGCGUAAAGCCACAGAUGGUUACUCUGCCUGCCCCUCCUCCUCGGUAGUGAAGGAUGCAUCGAAGAGAAUGAGAAACAUCUAUGAGAAGGCAGACAAUCCGCCUGGCUCCAUAGGAGAGAAAAAGAGAGGGAGACAGAUCCGAGAUGAGAGAUCAGGUGUUACUCAGCCUUCUGUAGUACAUGCAUACUGACCUUGCUCUCCAAGGACUGUAGGGGACAACCUGGACCUCUGAGGACACUACUGCCACCUGCUGUUCACACAUUCUCCAUCCCGUGGCUUCUCUCCAACACCUUCACUCAUAAUCCUCUCAAGCUCUCCAUACUGUGUAUCCUAGACUCAUUUUGUGGCCUGUGUAAUAGAGUUUCAACCUUUGGUCAAGUUCAAAUUCAGGAAGGGCCAAUGCUUGGCCAAGCUAGAAAGGGUUGAAUGAAUCAAGAUAUACUUCUAAACCGUAUGACCUCAGUGCAAGGCCUUUACGUCUUAGAGUCUUUUUCCCCAUGUGUAAAACGAAAGCCACAGUAACAAUAUCUGCUUCAUACUGUUGUAUUUAAGAUGAAAUAAGGUUUUCCCCCAUCUAUACCCUACCUUUCUAUCAAAAAAAGUUGAAUAUGUAAAGGACAAGCCAGGAUGGGGUACAGUUUAACAUCUCUAAAUACCAUAAAUUACUUCUGCUUACAUCAUCAUUUUAGCAACUUUCAACAGUCUUCUUUUAUUUAUUAAAGUGUUUUCUUUUAUACUUUGCCACUGACUUGGAAUUUAUCAAAAUGAAGUCUCUGUCAUUUUCUUUUGUAUUUUAUUAAAAAUGUCCGAACCAAA